GGGAAUUGGAUUGUACGGUCGAGCCUGCCCACUGAUAAAUUGAAGGGCCGCGGUAUUUUGACCGUGCAAAGGUAGCAUAAUCAUUAGUCUUUUAAAUGAGGGCUUGUAUGAAUGGUUUGACGAGAUUUUAGCUGUCUCAUUAUAAUAAAUAUAAUUUAACUUUGGAGUGAAAAGGCUUAAAUAUAAUCGGAGGACGAGAAGACCCUAUAGAGCUUUAUAUAUUUAUAUAAUAAUUUAAUAUUUGGUAGUUUUGAUAAUUAUUAUUUAAUAUAUUGUGUUGGGGUGACAUAAAGAUAAAAUUAACUCUUUGAAUUUUUAAACAUUAAUUUAUGAUAUUAUUGAUCCAGUAUUAUUGAUUAAAAGAAAAAGUUACCUUAGGGAUAACAGCGUAAUUUUUUUUGAGAGUUCUUAUCAAUAAAAAAGAUUGCGACCUCGAUGUUGGAUUAAGGAAAAUUAUUAGGUGUAGUAGUUUAAUUAAUAGGUCUGUUCGACCUUUAAAUCCUUACGUGAUCUGAGUUCAGACCGGA
rnacentral:rRNA from 1 species